UCUGCAUAAGACCUUUUUUUG
rnacentral:piRNA from 1 species